AUACGUAGGUGACAAGCGUUAUCCGGAUUUACUGGGCGUAAAGGGCGUGUAGGCGGUCUUGCAAGUCAGAAGUGAAAUUCCUGAGCUCAACUCGGGCGCUGCUUCUGAAACUGCAGGACUUGAGUGCUGGAGGGGAUAGCGGAAUUCCUAGUGGAGCGGUAAAAUGCGCAGAUAUUAGGAAGAACACCGGUGGCGAAGGCGGCUAUCUGGACAGUAACUGACGCUGAGGCGCGAAAGCGUGGGGAGCAAACAGGAUUAGAUACCCUGGUAGUCCACGCAGUAAACGAUGAUAACUAACCGCUGGUGCGCAAGUAUCAGUGGCCAAGCGAAAGCGAUAAGUUAUCCACCUGGGGAGUACGACCGCAAGGUUGAAACUCAAAGGAAUUGACGGGG
rnacentral:rRNA from 1 species